rnacentral:rRNA from 1 species
UCUGGUGACCGUACCGCAAACCGACUCAGGUGGGCAGGUGGAGAACACCGAGGCGCUAGGGAGAACACUGGUUAAGGAACUAGGCAAAUUAAUACCGUAACUUCGGGAUAAGGUAUGCCAGUUAGGUGAAGGGCCUGCGCCUGGAGCCCAAACUGGUCACAGCAAAGCGGCGGUAGCGACUGUUUACCAAAAACACAGGUCACUGCAAAGUCGUAAGACGAUGUAUAGGGGCUGACGCCUGCCCGGUGCCGGAAGGUUAAGAGGAGCUGUCAGCGCAAGCAAAGCAGCGAAUUGAAGCCCCGGUAAACGGCGGCCGUAACUAUAACGGUCCUAAGGUAGCGAAAUUCCUUGUCGAGUAAGUUCCGACCUGCACGAAAGGCGUAACGACUUCCGCGCUGUCUCAACCAGUGGCCCUGCGAAAUUGACGUUGGGGUGAAGAUGCCCCAUACCCGCAGAAAGACGGAAAGACCCUGUGAACCUUUACUCUAGCUUGGCAGUGACAUUCGACAUUAUCUGUGUAGCAUAGGUGGGAGGCGUUGAGUUCGGCGCGCUAGUGUCGAAGGAGCCACCGUUGAAAUACCACCCUGAUGAUGUUGGCCGUCUAACUUCGAAAGAAGGACACUGCCUGGUGGGGAGUUUGACUGGGGCGGUCGCCUCCCAAACAGUAACGGAGGCGCGCGAUGGUUCUCUCAGCCUGAUCGGAAACCAGGCGUAGAGUGCAAAGGCAUAAGAGAGCUUGACUGCGAGACGGACACGUCGAGCAGGUUCGAAAGAAGGCCUUAGUGAUCCGGCGGUCCCAUGUGGAAGGGCCGUCGCUCAACGGAUAAAAGGUACUCCGGGGAUAACAGGCUUAUCACGCCCAAGAGUUCACAUCGACGGCGUGGUUUGGCACCUCGAUGUCGGCUCGUCGCAUCCUGGGGCUGGAGCAGGUCCCAAGGGUUUGGCUGUUCGCCAAUUAAAGCGGCACGCGAGCUGGGUUCAAAACGUCGUGAGACAGUUUGGUCCCUAUCUUCUGUGGGCGUUGGAGAGUUGAGAGGAUCUGUCCUUAGUACGAGAGGACCGGGAUGGACACACCUCUGGUGUUCCGGUUGUCGCGCCAGCGGCACUGCCGGGUAGCUAAGUGUGGACGGGAUAACCGCUGAAAGCAUCUAAGUGGGAAACCCCCCUCAAGAUAGCUCUCCCCAAAGGACCCAGGUAGACUACCUGGUCGAUAGGCAGGACGUGUACUCGCAGCAAUGCGUUCAGCGAACCUGUACUAAUUGUCCGUUCGGCUUGUUCUA